CCCCCUCCCACUCUCGCGAGACUUGGCAGGCGCGCGGAGGCCACUCUCCCUUUUCCCGCGACGACAUGGCGGCCGCGCAGGGCUCGGUGGCAGCACGUUGUCGAGUAAGCAUAAAAAUGCACCUUGCACUCACCUUUCGGGGAGGCUGAUUCCUUCCCUCGGCAGCAGACCUGCACCAUCAGCACAUCGGAGGAAAACAUCCUGUAGAAUCCUGGGUUGUAUCUUCCCCCAAGGACGGCUUUGGCAAGAAGGCAGCUCUGAAGUCAGACGUCAAACUGGUGGCUGACAGCUGCGUUCUGCUGAACAUGGCCAUGCUUUACUUAACAGAACUCGCAUUUGUUUGCAGAUGAAUAAUGUUCGGUGACGGGCUGAACCGGCAGACUUGACAACAGCGGACUGCCUCAGGCCUUAGGUAAAGGACGUGCUCUACAGCUGGCUGGAGGAAGGAGGGGUUCCCUGCAGUCUUCUGUUCCAGAAUAAAACAAAAUCUUGAAACUGU